UAAUACGUAGGUGGCAAGCGUUGUCCGGAUUUAUUGGGUUUAAAGGGUGCGUAGGCGGUCCUAUAAGUCAGUGCUGAAAUAUCCCGGCUUAACCGGGAGGGUGGCAUUGAUACUGCAGGACUUGAGUGAAGUCGAGGUAGGCGGAAUUGACGGUGUAGCGGUGAAAUGCUUAGAUAUCGUCAAGAACACCGAUAGUGAAGACAGCUUACUAGACUUCAACUGACGCUGAGGCACGAAAGUGUGGGGAUCAAACAGGAUUAGAUACCCUGGUAGUCCACACUGUAAACGUUGAUUACUCGAUGUGUGCGAUAUACAGUACGCGUCUUAGCGCAAGCGAUAAGUAAUCCACCUGGGGAGUACGCCGGCAACGGUG
rnacentral:rRNA from 1 species